UGUGUAGGCGGUUUAUUAAGUUUAAGAUUAAAGCCCGAGGCUUAACCUCGGUUCGUCUUAAAAACUGAUAGACUUGAGUAUGGUAGAGGCAAAUGGAAUUUCUAGUGUAGCGGUUAAAUGCGUAGAUAUUAGAAGGAACAUCAGUGGCGAAGGCGAUUUGCUGGGCCAUUACUGACGCUGAGACACGAAAGCGUGGGGAGCAAAUAGGAUUAGAUACCCUAGUAGUCCACGCCGUAAACGAUGAGUACUAAGUGUCGGGAAACCGGUGCUGAAGCUAACGCAUUAAGUACUCCGCCUGAGUAGUACGGUCGCAAGACUGAA
rnacentral:rRNA from 1 species